UCAGUCGGCCGGGCGGCCGCGGCCCUUCGGGUCGAGGAAAGUCCGGGCUCCACGGAGAAACGACGCCGGAUAACGUCCGGCGGGGGCGACCCCAGGGAUAGCGCCACAGAGAACAGACCGCCCGCGCUUGCGCGGGUAAGGGUGAAACGGUGCGGCAAGAGCGCACCGCGCGACCGGCAACGGAAGCGGCACGGCAAGCCCCGUCGGGAGCAAAACCGAAUAGGGACGACGCGCGGCGGGCGACCGCCGCAGAUCUCUCCGGAUCGUCGUCCGGGUUGGUUGCUUGAGGCGUCCGGCGACGGACGUCCCAGAGGAAUGGUCGCCACGCGGUCGGGCGCAAGCUCGACGGCCAUCCAGAACCCGGCUUACAGGCCGACUGACCUU
rnacentral:RNase_P_RNA from 2 species